NNNNUUUUUNANUGAUCCUGGCUCAGGACGAACGCUGGCGGCGUGCUUAACACAUGCAAGUCGAACGAUGAAGCCCAGCUUGCUGGGUGGAUUAGUGGCGAACGGGUGAGUAACACGUGGGUGAUCUGCCCUGCACUUCGGGAUAAGCCUGGGAAACUGGGUCUAAUACCGGAUAGGACCUUCUGCCGCAUGGUGGGGGGUGGAAAGGUUUUCCGGUGCAGGAUGGGCCCGCGGCCUAUCAGCUUGUUGGUGGGGUAACGGCCCACCAAGGCGACGACGGGUAGCCGGCCUGAGAGGGCGACCGGCCACACUGGGACUGAGACACGGCCCAGACUCCUACGGGAGGCAGCAGUGGGGAAUAUUGCACAAUGGGCGCAAGCCUGAUGCAGCGACGCCGCGUGAGGGAUGACGGCCUUCGGGUUGUAAACCUCUUUCAGUACCGACGAAGCGCAAGUGACGGUAGGUACAGAAGAAGCACCNC
rnacentral:rRNA from 1 species